AAGUGUGAUCAUACCACCACUAAUGCAUCGGAUCCCAUCAGAACUUGGUAGUUAUGCGUGCUUGGGCGAGAGUAGUACUAGGAUGGGUGACCUCCUUGAAAGUCCUCGUGUUGCACCUC
rfam:Vigna angularis cultivar Jingnong 6 chromosome 8, whole genome shotgun sequence.